rnacentral:rRNA from 1 species
UACGAAGGGGGCUAGCGUUGCUCGGAAUCACUGGGCGUAAAGGGUGCGUAGGCGGGUCUUUAAGUCAGGGGUGAAAUCCUGGAGCUCAACUCCAGAACUGCCUUUGAUACUGAGGAUCUUGAGUUCGGGAGAGGUGAGUGGAACUGCGAGUGUAGAGGUGAAAAUUCGUAGAUAUUCGCAAGAACACCAGUGGCGAAGGCGGCUCACUGGCCCGAUACUGACGCUGAGGCACGAAAGCGUGGGUAGCAACAGG